UCUAUGGGUGUCUAUGGGGUCUCUAUGGGGCAAUAGGGUCUCUAUAGGGUCUCUAUGGGGUGUCUAUGGGUGUCUAUGGGGUCUCUAUGGGGCAAUGGGGUCUCUAUGGGUCUCUAUGGGGUGUCUAUGGGGUCUCUAUGGGGGUUCCCUAUGGGGUCUCUCCCUAUGGGGUCUCUAUAGGGUCCCUAUGUGCCCCCUACCCAGGCAGGAUCUGUUGUUGGGUCCCCAGCCCCUGAAUCCAGGUUGGCAGCGGCAGCUGAAGGAGCCGGGGAGAGUGGAGGCAGCGUGCUGGCAUAAUGACGGUGUGCUGGCAUCAUCCACAUCUUAUGGGGCAACCCCCAUAGCACUGCCCCAAAGCGCCCCAAUAACAGCCCAUAAACCCCGUAACAGCCCAUAACCCCAUAACAGCCCAUAGCCCCCAUAGCCCCCAUAACCCCAUAACACCCCCAUACCCCCCCAUAGCCACCCAUAGCUCCCCUCUGAUGCCCCCCCAUAGCCCCGUAGCACCCCAUAGCCCGCGCUAUAACCACCCCAAUAGCCACCCCAUAGCUCCCCUCUGAUGCCCCCACCUGCCCAUAGCCCAUAAGCCACGCUUAACCCCCUCCAUAACCCCCCAUAGCCCCCCCAUAGCCACCCCAAUAGCUCCCCUCUGAUGCCCCCCCUGCCCCAUAGCCCCCAUAAGCCCCCUUAACACCCCCAUAACCCCCCCAUAGCCACCCAUAGCCACCCCCAUAGACACCAUAAUAGGCCCCAUAGACAACCCCAUAACCGCCCAUAACCCCCCCAAAAGCCACCGCCAUAACCGCCGCCAUAGCCCCCAUAACCCCCGCUACCCUCCUAGUAGCCACCCCAUGCCCCCAUCUGAUGGUCCCCCCGCCCAUAACAGCCCCAUAACAGCCCCAUAACCGCCCCAAUAGACCCCCCCAUAGCCACCCGCAUAACCCCCAUCCUACACCCCAUACCCCCCCCAUAACAGCCCAUAGACACCCAUAUCACCCCCAUACACACACCCUAUAAACCCCUAUAGCCCCCCCCAGCCCCAUAGCCAUCCCAAUAGCCCCCCAUAACCCCCUCAUAGACACCCCAUAAUCACCCCUAUAACCCCAUAAACCCCCGCCCAUAGCCACCGCUCUGAGAUGCCCCCGCCUGCCCCAUAGCCCCCAUAAGCCCCCCUUAACACCCCAAAAUAACCCCCAUAACCCCCCCAUAGCCACCCCAUAGACCCCAUAACAGCCCCAUAGACACCCCAUAAACCCCUCCCAUAGCCCAACCCCAUAGGCCCCCAUAACCCCCCAUAACACCCCAUAAGCCCCCCAUAACCAGGCCCAUAGACACCCCAUAAUCACCUAUAACCCCCAUAACCCCCCAUAGCCACCCCACUAGACCCCAUACACCCC
rnacentral:lncRNA from 1 species